rnacentral:rRNA from 1 species
UACGAAGGGGGCUAGCGUUGCUCGGAAUCACUGGGCGUAAAGCGCACGUAGGCGGCUUUCUAAGUCAGGGGUGAAAUCCUGGAGCUCAACUCCAGAACUGCCUUUGAUACUGGAGAGCUUGAGUCCGGAAGAGGUGAGUGGAACUCCGAGUGUAGAGGUGAAAUUCGUAGAUAUUCGGAAGAGCACCAGUGGCGAAGGCGGCUCACUGGUCCGGUACUGACGCUGAUGUGCGAAAGCGUGGGGAGCAAACAGG